AACGCACAUUGCGCCCCUUGGUAUUCCGGGGGGCAUGCCCGUUCGAGCGUCAUUACACCACUCAAGCCUGGCUUGGUAUUGGGCGUCCGGCACUCACCUGCCCGCCCCAAAUUCUCUUCGGCUGAUCGGUUUACUUUCUUAGCGUUGGAGUGUUGUCAUUACGUUCCGCUAAUCGAAAGACGCCGGCCGGCCGUUAAACAUUUUCAUCACGGUUGACCUCGGAUCGGGUAGGGAUACCCGCUGAACUUAA
rnacentral:misc_RNA from 1 species